GCUUGCUUGUCGCCUGACAUCGCCGUGAGCAGCAACUGCUUUUUUAUUGAAUUGGAAAAAGUGUCAGCACUGUGUAGGUAGUUUGUGAGAGAGCUUUGUGCCUUAUUUUUAAGAACAAAUCGACAUGAUGGUGCAGUUGUUGUUUUUGUUUGGAGUGCUUUCUUUAAGUUUCGUGCUAAUUUUCACGUCCAAAUCAGAAUAUGAUUGAAACAUUUUUGCCGAAAAAAUGAUUCCACAGCGAUGACAAAAUACUCUCGAAAAGGGUGAUAAAAACAUAAAAUAUUAAUAAAUAUUGUGAUUUUUACACAGAUAGAGUGUCACGAGUUUUGAGCGCGAUGUUCCGCGAAGUCUCUGAUUACUCCAACUCAGCGACGAAAGGCGUUCUUGUUGGAGUAUUUCGAGAUGUGCGAUAACAAAGAGUAUCCGUGGGUGGCUACAAACUUUUCCUUCGUCCGCGAUGACAAGGCACUUCACAUGAACGGCUUGGUACUUGUGACCAGGGACAUUCGAGACCCCAUUGCGGUUAGAACUAUUAUAAGUGAACAUUACGACGAUUCAACUGCAAGAGCGCGUUUCUCGUUUACGUUGCAGAUUAAGAUGGAUAGAUGCAAAGAUAGGACAGAUCUAAGCUCUUGUGAACACGUGACAAGUAUUAAAUGGCCAGACCUCUGCGGUGCAGUCAAGCUUAUCCCUAAUUUUAGGAUUUUUUUUGACGCUUUUGAGCCUCCCUUGGCUUGUCCAGUUAAGAAGAAUCGUUAUUUUGUGAGAGAUGUGGUCCUACCUCUAGAUAUAGUGUCUACAUUUCUAACCACUGCGAGACAGAAGAAACAAUUAUCAAAAGUUCGCUGCACAAUGUAUGAAGGAAAUCAACUAAUUUCUUGCCUGGAUGCCGGCUGGAGGAUAAGAGAUAUUAAAAUUAGAUCAUAAGAGUUUCGGAGACGCCCAGAAACACCGGUGUCUAUAAAAAAAGCACAUUUUAUGCCUUUAAAAUUUUUUAUGUAUUGAAUUCCAAAAGUAAGUUGAAUGACUCACCACCAUUAAGACUAAUCAAUUUUCCUUCAUUCCAAACUAGCUGAGAAAAGUUGUAUCACUUUAUGUCUAAACUAGUUUUACUAUACGGGCUUUCCAUAUAAAUAUUUAAGUAAAUAGGAUUAAAGUUUGUUGACUAAUGCUAUACGUUAGGUAAACUUUUAGAAAUUGAAAAUAAGUGGAAACUCUUGUUGGAAAAAAGAACUAUACAUUGCAACCGCACAUGGCACUUGCAGUCAAAGAGCUUUUCAUUACCUCGAGCGUUAUGAUACCUGCGUUAUGAUACACAACAUGAAAUUUGCAAUCGAAGUUUUGCUCUGUAUUCUUGGCUAUAAAAUCUUAAACUGUCUCUGGGUUUUCUUCAUUAUGCACCAUUUUCCCAGAUGUGAAGAACUCACAGUUUUAAUAAAGUGAAAAUGAUAUUGACGUGUUGAAUUUUACGUAUAUUCAUACGUAAUUCAUACGUAAAAUUCAAGGCACGUGUUUUAUUUCGAUCAGCGUUCAUGAAAUCAUGGAUGACAAAAAAUCGAGAUAUCUCCUUCAAAAACAUGUAGCUCAUGUAAAUCUUCAACACUUUACCUCUCCCUCGGCACCUGACAAAAUACCUGAUUUAAAUAUUGAUCUUCAGCAUUCACAUGCGUCGGAUUACUUGUAAGAUGAAGUGAUGAUUGAAUUAUUUUACAAA
rnacentral:lncRNA from 1 species